AAGUCGUAACAAGGUUUCCGUAGGUGAACCUGCGGAAGGAUCAUUACCGAGAGACGGGGUCCAAACGGCCCCACUCUUCACCCGUGUCUACUUAUCUUUUGUUGCUUUGGCGGGCCGUCGAGCUUUUACCGCUCGGCGCCAGUCGGAAGGCUAGCGCCCUCCGCCCGGCGAGUGUCCGCCACAGCCCUUCAAUACUCCAUCUCAGUGAUGUCCGAGCCAACCAAGCAACAGUUUAAAACUUUCAACAACGGAUCUCUUGGUUCUGGCAUCGAUGAAGAACGCAGCGAAAUGCGAUAAGUAAUGUGAAUUGCAGAAUUCAGUGAAUCAUCGAAUCUUUGAACGCACAUUGCGCCCUCUGGUAUUCCGGGGGGCAUGCCUGUUCGAGCGUCAUUAUAACCCUCAAGCCAUGCUUGGUACUGGGUGCAGCCCCCGCGGCUCGCCCGAAAGGCAGUGGUGGCUCAACGAGACUCCGAGCGUAGCAAGAUUUACAUAUCCCGCCACGGUAGCCUCUCGAUGAAUCCGACCAACCAAAACACAAGUUCUUACUUCCACGAUUGACCUCGGAUCAGGUAGGGAUACCCGCUGAACUUAAGCAUAUCAAUAAGCGGAGGAAAAGAAACCAACAGGGAUUGCCUCAGUAACGGCGAGUGAAGCGGCAACAGCUCAAAUUUGAAAUCUGGCCUCUUCGGGGUCCGAGUUGUAAUUUGUAGAGGGUGUUUCGGGCGAGGCGCCAGCCUAAGUUCCUUGGAACAGGACGUCAUAGAGGGUGAGAAUCCCGUAUGCGGCUGGUGACCGACCCCAUGUGAAACCCCUUCGACGAGUCGAGUUGUUUGGGAAUGCAGCUCUAAAUGGGUGGUAAAUUUCAUCUAAAGCUAAAUACCGGCCAGAGACCGAUAGCGCACAAGUAGAGUGAUCGAAAGAUGAAAAGCACUUUGGAAAGAGAGUUAAAAAGUACGUGAAAUUGUUGAAAGGGAAGCGCUUGCAACCAGACCUGCCUCCGGGUGAUCAGCCGCCGUUCUCGGCGGUGCACUCGCCCGUUGCAGGCCAGCAUCGGUUCGGGCGGUCGGAUAAAGGCCUUGAGAAUGUAGCUCCCCUCGGGGAGUGUUAUAGCUCUGGGUGCAAUGCGGCCAGCCUGGACCGAGGACCGCGCUUCGGCUAGGAUGCUGGCGUAAUGGUUGUAAGCGGCC
rnacentral:rRNA from 1 species